AGAGUGCGCCGCAACUAUAAAAAGACAGCAUCAAUGGAACCCCGAUUCGACGACUCACCGUGGUGACGGGGAAGCGGAGAGCUACGUUUUUUUCACACCACUUGAACUGGACAUCUUAAUGCGUUCAUAUGGUGACUUCGAACACGUUUUUAGAAAGAAGUGCAACACCUGCAGCUGCAAAAGAGACGGAGACGGCGUGGGAGAACAUUGCUGCCCGAGUCAAUGCGUAAGUUUAAAUCACAAUAAUAUUACAGGGAAACUGUUUAAUAGCAGCCUGUUCUGUUAUUUCAUUUAGGUGCAAUCCUGCAGGGGAGAAGCGCAUGUAACAGCAGCUGAAGAUGAAAUAUAAGAACAUUGUUCAAACGGCCAACAGAAAGAAAGCAGAUGCCUGUAAAAAGGGAGGAGGCCCAGCAGCACCACCUGUAACGGAGGCAGAGGAGCUGGUCCUAAGCCAGAAUUUGGGAAGGCCAGUGGCUGAGGGAAUCCCUGGAGGGAGCUCAUCCUCUGAGACCACAUCCCAAGACACAAGUGUGUGUGUGCGCGCGCGUGUGUGUGUGUGUGUGUGUGUGUGUGCUCAUGCGCCCACUGAACAUUUGCCAUAAGGAAGCACAGAGCACUGCAUUGUUUCUGCGUACGAGCGAGUGUGUGUGCAGCCACAGCGAUGGCAUGCGUGAAGGGGUGUGCUUUAAAGAUGGUGAGUUUAAUUAGAGAUGAAAGGGCUGAUGUGUCAUACCCACAGCUUAAUGCUGUGGGCUGUGGCAGUGCUCUCUCCUCCUCCGGCUCUGCUUUCUCUCUCUCUCCUCUAGGUUGGUGGCAGCUCUGGUCUGGUGGCAGGUGUGGCGCAUUAAUAAUCAGCAGGUCGUGUGCAGGUGGGAGCCAGCAGCUUGAUUCCGGCAGCUUUAACAACCGUCGCCACUCGUCGUUUGAUGCCGGACUGUCCUCGUCCAACAAAGCUGACUCUCGCCGGCUUGUGAUCUUGGACUCUGCUGGUUCCAUCCUGGUUUUUCUGGCCUUCAUUCCUCCGUGGAUUUCGCUUUGCCCUCUGGAGGGAUAAAACCCAUCUGAGCCGAAAGAACUGUCCGUUCCUCCCAAGACGCGGAACCAUCUGCGCUAUUGCCGGACGCCUUCCUCCAUGCAGUGUGUGUUGGGACUGGAGCAUUCGCUGGAGGAGUGGAUUGAGAGGAACCCCUGCCCUAGUCGAGCACUCCUUCAGUUUGUCAGCCAAGUCUUUAGCCCUAGCGUCACCAGACUACGAGUUUGUGAUUGAGAAUUAAUGUGUGUACGUUGAGUCCGGGCUUUCUGUACAGGUUACGGUAGACCAGGUAUUUGGGUUUUUUUUUGUGUUUAGGUGUUGCGUUGUAUUCCUGCCCUGGUGUUACUAGCAGUGGGUUUACUUAAUUUCUGUUUCUUUGUAUUAGUUAUAGUUUGCCGAGCCACGAGAGGCGGUCUCGAUCUGUUCCCCGCUUGAGUAGGUACUUUGCUAGUUCCUGUUCCUUGUUGGGAUUUGUAGUCCUAAGUUUUCUCGUGUGUAAAUAAAAGCAUUGUAACAGUA